UCUCUUUAACACUUUAACCCAACCAGCUGAAGCAGCACAUGUGGGUCACCUUGGAGACAGCCGACCUACCAAUCUGAAAGAGACCGUUUUCCCUAACUUCCAGGACUGGGGGAGUUAACGGUUUGAGCGAACUCUCUCGCUGAAGUCCCACGGCUUCAGGGUCAUUCGACUUGCAAAUUGACUUGGCUCCUCUCUCACACCCAUGUUUAGGGGGCUGUGGCCAGCAUGGUGUUUUCCAUAGCCCUGGAACGGAAAUCAGGUUGGGCAGCGUGACCAACCGCUGAAGCACGGCAGGAGGAAUGACUAGAUAGGAUUUAAGGAUGGCUCCCGGGACCGCAGCAUCAGAGGAACGUCAAGAACACACCUUAAGGGAGAGAAAGACCGUUGUGAGUGGACCUUCCCAGACCCUCAGGUGAGCUCCAGACUCCACAAGGACACCCCUGAAUCGACGGACGUCUCUCCUUAUUUCCUUGAGUGAUCUGCAUUUCUCUCAGAAUUGUGAAGGGAGCAGAUGGAACGGGGCUCUCAGGAGCAAGCACCUAUACUCUCUUGGCAACUUUCCUCGAUGUCCAGUGUCCACGCACCUCCUAGCUUUGAGCAUCGCUGUCUACUCGUCCUUGAGAGCGUCAGCAAGAAGGAAAUUACUCUGCCAUUUUCAACCACCCCUCAUCCCAAUCUUACCAUACUUAUCCUAGACUGGCUCUUCCAGGACCAGAUCUGAGUCUGACUCACCUCUGUGUUCCCAAAAUUGAGUACCGGCUGGUCCAAGAGUGGUUUCCUACCUAUAUCUGAAGAGUUGAGUAUAUGUGGGGCCCAUCUCAUUCACUGUGUUCUAGGCCCUAGGGUGUUUUUCAUCCUAACAGGAAACUGAUCUGGCCUAGGGUGUUGUCUGCAAGUCACCCAUGGGCACCAUUGCCUUCGCCAGGCCGCGGUUUCUUAAUGUAGUACUGGAAGUUCAUGUAUUUUUCCCAAAAGGGUAGGCAAAGUUUUCAAGAGUUUGUGGGUUGUUUUCUGGGAGGGAGGAUCAGCAACAGUCUCCAUCAGAAUUCAGCGGGGUUGUGAGAAGAGACCGGAGAAAGGGUACGGGGAGGAGAAUAGUUCCCGGAAACAUUUGCCCAGAUCCCUGGGUCACACACCUGCUGUCCUCCUCCGUCCUCCUCCGGCAUGGGAGGAGCCCAGGGGUGCAUGUCACUGUUUGGCCCUUUGGGAAGUUCUAUAAACUGGGAUGUGUCCCCUGCAAGCACACUCCUGUGGUGUGAGCACCCUUCAAAGGCAUUUGCUGGCUUUCACAGGGCUCUGGAUCUUUUCGAGGCAAGUUUAGAAGCCUCACUCACUCCCAGGGCGGUACUAGGGUGGGGGGUGGGGUCCAGGACAGGGCCUGGUGUGCACUAGGCAAAGCUCUCCACCUCUCCAGCCCCCAUCCCUUUGAGUUGAACUCAGCUCUGUUUUUCCCUAAGGUCUCUUCCCAGGAGCAAUUGCCCUUGCCUGCUUUUCCUUCAGGCCUCUGCUGUCGGGUCUUCAGGGCCAACUCUCUGCCUGACCAUGGCCUGAGCAGCGAGAACCCCUCCCCUAACACCUGUUUCAGCACAUGACUGGGCCAAUCCUGAUUUUCAAGACACAUUUCUGUGGUCCUUCAACUGUCAGGGCUAUUGAUGAAUUGUGGUCUCCCAAGAAGACGGGCUCCUCACUUGACGCCUCUCUGUUCUGUUCCUGUGGCCUAGCAAGGGGUAUGCACACCAUAGGUGCUAAAUAAAUGUGCAGUAUCAAGAAAACAGUCUUGUUUUCACAGACUGGAUCGGCCAUAGCUGAACCAGUUUCUUGGAUGCUCUCUAACGGGCAUGCAGGAUGCCUUGUUUUCUUAUGCGGUAUAGAGUGGCCAUUCUGGGGCUCGAAGGGAGAACGUGGUUCCUCACUGCCGACCCAGGGAAGGAGCUCAGCUACGUAGACUCUGAACCCAGGCAGUCUGGAUUCAAACCUCAAUGUAACUCUAUUGCCCUGAGCAUGUUGAUCUCUUUGUGCCCACGUGUCCCUUAUCUUAUACAGGGAUGUUAACAUCCUAGGCCACUUGGGGGACUCUUGAGAGAAUUCAAGCAUUUGUAAUCUAGAGUGGGACAUUGCCAGUGCAUGGCUGUCAUUAAUGGCCACACAAUUCAAGUCCCUUCUGCCCUUUGCCUUUCAAUAAUAUGUCUAAAGCC
rnacentral:lncRNA from 1 species